CUAAGGGACUACGUUCACCAAAGGUCAUCUGGCCCUUGAGGCUCAUUGGUCACUCUUCCCACCUUUCUCACCCUUCCCACCCUUCCCUUAGAGGUAGGCACCUGGUUUCCUACACCAUUACUCACCGAAGAUCUUCAGGGUGUAACUGGAAAGCACCCGAGAGGACUCUGUAUUUGUCAUGGAUAUGCAAGAGCCCGACUCUGCCAUCAUCAGAUUGCUGAGAUCCACGGAGUAGGACCAGGCAACUUUAGAAUUACUGAUUCCUGCAGAAUCCUACUCACUACCAAUGAGGUCGAGCUGCUUUGUGAAACUCUGCCCCUUCCCAGGAUUUGAGUGCCUUGUAUGGAAACCCUAGACUGGGAAACUGGCCAGCUCCUGAAAACUAGCACUCUGAACAGGGCACUAAAACCUAGACAAGUAAGGACUACCCAGAGUGGCAUGAAGCUGAGAGACUGAGAGACAGAGAAGGACUUUGAAGAAUGAGUUACAGAGACAUCUGAGAGGGACAGGAAAAGGCAGGUGCUUCACAUAAAAACAAUUGGGAACUAGUUGGAGAAAAUCUUAAAUGCACACAUGACAGAAGAAGAAGUUUCCCCUGAGAUCUUUUUAACUUGGAACUUAGUUUGAUCAGUCUUGAGUCCAUUACAGAGCUUGCUGCUGAAGGCUUCUGCCUCAGACAGAGAAAAUAAAAUCAAACACCGUGGGGGCUUCCACCCUCAAGGCAGAAAAACCUGCCCACUGCGCCGCUGGCACAGACCCAGAGUUGGAUGAAGCUCGAAGAACUCCUGUCCUGCAACCUCCAGAAUUUUGAGAGGAUGGUACGUGUGCUAGCAAUGCCAAGGUUGUGAGUUUAAACUGCUGGAGGACACAUGAGGAGCCUAGAUGCCUGCUUUGUGAAAACAUCAGUGGAGGGUGAGGGCUGUGGCCCAGCUGCACAACCUGACUCAGGCUGAUGGGGCACCAGCUAGCCAUGCCUUUUUUCCAGCAGUUAUCAGCAGCUCCCGGGCCACCGCAUCCCACUCUCUCCACCAGUCUCGCUGCUUUGUAUGCCCCUGCAUACACCCAGCACCCCAAUGCCUGCCCUCUCACACGUGUAUAUGGUGACCUUGCUGCUCCUAUUGGUGUAUAUUAAAGUGCGACCCUGUGUCUCUAUGGUUUCUGUCCUCUGCCAGCACAUUCCCUACUCCCUCCUCCUGCCCCAGCUACACUUUGAUGUACUAAUGGGGGCUUCACAGUUCUCUAAUCUGCAGAGGCUGCUCCUUCUCCUUCCCUCUCUGACUGUGGCUCCACUCCCUGACUUGUAGCACCUG